ACGAACGCUGGCGGCGUGCCUAAUACAUGCAAGUUGAGCGCUGAAGGUUGGUACUUGUACCGACUGGAUGAGCAGCGAACGGGUGAGUAACGCGUGGGGAAUCUGCCUUUGAGCGGGGGACAACAUUUGGAAACGAAUGCUAAUACCGCAUAAAAACUUUAAACACAAGUUUUAAGUUUGAAAGAUGCAAUUGCAUCACUCAAAGAUGAUCCCGCGUUGUAUUAGCUAGUUGGUGAGGUAAAGGCUCACCAAGGCGAUGAUACAUAGCCGACCUGAGAGGGUGAUCGGCCAAAUUGGGACUGAGACACGGCCCAAACUCCUACGGGAGGCAGCAGUAGGGAAUCUUCGGCAAUGGACGAAAGUCUGACCGAGCAACGCCGCGUGAGUGAAGAAGGUUUUCGGAUCGUAAAACUCUGUUGGUAGAGAAGAACGUUGGUGAGAGUGGAAAGCUCAUCAAGUGACGGUAACUACCCAGAAAGGGACGGCUAACUACGUG
rnacentral:rRNA from 1 species